UAGAGUUACAGCUCUUUUAGAAUUUGUCUAUCAGGCCUUCAAGUUUUUUUUUUUUUUUUUUUUGCUGGAAAGCCCCU
rnacentral:snRNA from 1 species